rnacentral:rRNA from 1 species
UUUGACAUGUACGGAAUUCCCAGAGAGGCUUAUUUUUCGAAAAAGAACCGUAACACAAGUGCUGCAUGGCUGUCGUCAGCUCGUGUCGUGAGAUGGUGGGUUAGUCCCGCAACGGGCCAACCCUUGUCAAUAGUUGCUACAUUUAGUUGGGCCCUCUAAUGAAAAUGCCGGUGACAAACCGGAGGAAGGUGGGGAUGACGUCAAGUCCUCAUGGCCCUUAUAGGUGGGGCUACACACGUCAUACAAUGGGUGGUACAAAGGGUUGCCAACCCGCGAGGGGGAGCUAAUCCCAUAAAACCAGUCGUAGUCCGGAUCGCAGUCUGCAACUCGACUGCGUGAAGUCGGAAUCGCUAGUAAUCGUGGAUCAGAAUGUCACGGUGAAUACGUUCCCGGGUCUUGUACACACCGCCCGUCACACCAUGGGAGCGGGUUCUGCCAGAAGUAGUUAGCCUAACCGUAAGGAGGGCGAUUACCACGGCAGGGUUCGUGACUGGGGUGAAGUCGUAACAAGGUAACC